GGGGAAUUUUCCGCAAUGGGCGAAAGCCUGACGGAGCAAUACCGCGUGAGGGAGGAAUGCCUUUGGGUUGUAAACCUCUUUUCUCAGGGAAGAAGAUCUGACGGUACCUGAGGAAUAAGUAUCGGCUAACUCCGUGCCAGCAGCCGCGGUAAUACGGAGGAUGCAAGCGUUAUCCGGAAUCAUUGGGCGUAAAGCGUCCGCAGGUGGUUUCCAAAGUCUGCUGUUAAAGACUGGAGCUCAACUCCGGAACGGCGGUGGAAACUUGGAAACUAGAGUUCGGUAGGGGUAGCAGGAAUUCCCAGUGUAGCGGUGAAAUGCGUAGAUAUUGGGAAGAACAUCGGUGGCGAAGGCGUGCUACUGGACCGUAACUGACACUCAGGGACGAAAGCUAGGGGAGCGAAAGGGAUUAGAUACCCCUGUAGUCCUAGCUGUAAACGAUGGAAACUAGGUGUGGCUUG
rnacentral:rRNA from 1 species